rnacentral:rRNA from 1 species
UACGUAGGGUGCGAGCGUUGUCCGGAAUUAUUGGGCGUAAAGAGCGCGUAGGCGGCGCGGUAAGUCACUUGUGAAAUCUCUGAGCUUAACUCAGAACGGCCAAGUGAUACUGCAGUGCUAGAGUGCAGAAGGGGCAAUCGGAAUUCUUGGUGUAGCGGUGAAAUGCGUAGAUAUCAAGAGGAACACCUGAGGUGAAGACGGGUUGCUAGGCUGACACUGAGGCGCGACAGCGUGGGGAGCAAACAGG